rnacentral:rRNA from 1 species
GGGAGUGAAAUAGAACCUGAAACCCUGCACUUACAAGCUGUGGAAGCACAUUUCUUGUGUGACCGCGUACUUUUUGUAGAACGGGCCAACGAGUUACGUUAAGUAGCAAGGUUAAGCACUUAAGGUGUGGAGCCGUAGCGAAAGCGAGUUUUAACUGAGCGUUCAGUUACUUGACGUAGACCCGAAACCGGGCGACCUACCCAUGAGCAGGAUGAAGCGAAAGUAAAAUUGCGUGGAGGUCCGAACCCACGAGCG